AUUGAACGCUGGCGGCAAGCCUAACACAUGCAAGUCGAGCGGAUGAAGGGAGCUUGCUCCUGGAUUCAGCGGCGGACGGGUGAGUAAUGCCUAGGAAUCUGCCUGGUAGUGGGGGAUAACGUCCGGAAACGGGCGCUAAUACCGCAUACGUCCUGAGGGAGAAAGUGGGGGAUCUUCGGACCUCACGCUAUCAGAUGAGCCUAGGUCGGAUUAGCUAGUUGGUGGGGUAAAGGCCUACCAAGGCGACGAUCCGUAACUGGUCUGAGAGGAUGAUCAGUCACACUGGAACUGAGAAACGGUCCAGACUCCUACGGGAGGCAGCAGUGGGGAAUAUUGGACAAUGGGCGAAAGCCUGAUCCAGCCAUGCCGCGUGUGUGAAGAAGGUCUUCGGAUUGUAAAGCACUUUAAGUUGGGAGGAAGGGCAGUAAGUUAAUACCUUGCUGUUUUGACGUUACCAACAGAAUAAGCACCGGCUAACUUCGUG
rnacentral:rRNA from 1 species